rnacentral:sRNA from 1 species
GGACCACUUCCGCACAGGAGUCGAGGCCAUACGGACAGCCGGGUCCACUGCCGA